CAUCUCUAUCUUCUCUUCUUCUUCCUCCUCCUGUCCUCACCCAUGAAAGUUUAUGGGGAAUUGGUGCACCACAAGCUGGUGAAGCUGCCAGCAUGAUCUGAUCGAUCUGAUGAUGAUCUACCACCUCUCUCGAUCUCUCUUUUGUUCUUGAUUGUGUUACAGAUCGAUGGAUCGAUCAGGUCAUGCUGUAGUUUCAUCUGCUGGUUGGGAGCACAUCAAAAACCCUAACUUUAUAGCUGGGUAUGUAUGCAUGGAUUAAUUAACCAGCUAGCUAUAGCUCAUCAAGUUCUUUCAGGAGUUGCCUUGCAGAUGAGAUGAUGGGGGAGUAAUCUUGAUGAACAGAUGGGAUUUCUCAAGGCUUCUACCUGGCAAUUCCAUAAAACAUGUCAACCUUGGAUAUUCUUAACUUGACGCAAUACAUGUCUGUUAGUGAUCAAUAAAUAAAAGUGUAGUAUGUGCUAACUAUUUUCAUCAAUGUGCCUUUGAUUAUUGUGAUCUUGCCAGCAAUAAUGUUAGUGAUGGAAAUAUCACCUGACCAAAAGGGGGGACAUGAUUAACCUUGCUAAUUAAGUAACAAGAAAAGAGUUGGAGGGAGGAAAGAAAUAAAGGAAUAAUGUGUCUUCUUGACCUGAAGACAAGAAGAUUUGUUAAUGGCUGCUUGCUUGCAGGAUAUGCAUGCCUACCACAAACAAGGAGAGUUGGCACUACAACUGAAUGAAUGAUGAUUGCCUCUUGCUUGAAGGAUGAAACUGCUGCCCAUCUUUUCAUGACCCCCCUUUGCAUGCAUUAGUGCCCACACUUUUCUCCUCUUUUGGGCUCUGUACUAUGGAGAUAUUCACUCCAUCCAUGAUCCAUCCAUGCAUGUUCCAUCAUUUGUUGAGAAUUUCUUUGCAGUAUAAUGUAAUGACCUGUUCUGUC